GACGUAGGGCGCGAGCGUUGUCCGGAUUUAUUGGGCGUAAAGAGCUCGUAGGCGGCUUGUCGCGUCGUCCGUGAAAACCUGCAGCUCAACUGCAGGCUUGCGGUCGAUACGGGCAGGCUGGAGUUCGGUAGGGGAGACUGGAAUUCCUGGUGUAGCGGUGAAAUGCGCAGAUAUCAGGAGGAACACCGGUGGCGAAGGCGGUUCUCUGGGCCUUACCUGACGCUGGAGGAGCGAAAGCGUGGGGAGCGAACAGGA
rnacentral:rRNA from 1 species